GAAACGGUUCUUUUCAGGACCACCAAAAUAAAAAUUAAUAACGCUAU
rfam:Acyrthosiphon pisum strain LSR1 Contig12503, whole genome shotgun sequence.